AAUUUACUAAUAAGAAUUCUGAAUCAAUCCAACUAAAUAAAUUAAUUGUUACAGGUGAACCACAAAAUCCUA